rnacentral:lncRNA from 1 species
CAACAGAGCCCUAAUCCUUUACUAUUUCUGUUUUUCUGCUUUAUCAGAUAAUUGUUCGUAUACUAUUCCAUAGAUUUCCGAAGGUCUAGAUUAAAUUACUGAAUAAUUUGAGAUUUUUUUGUUCUAGUAUUUCAUAUUUUUUUCUAACUCUUUUUUGCGUUACUUCCUUGCUAAUUCAAGUCAUUAUUAGGAUAUAUAGGAUAAAUUAGGCGAAAUCAGCUCACAAUUUUUGGUAAUGGAUAUUCAUUGCCACACGUUGGGAAUUCUAUUUUCCUAGAUAUAUUGUAAUUUUGUAUGAGGGAUAUUAGUAUGAUAUUUGAAUUUUAUAUUAUUUUAUGCAUUUAAGAAUCCAGUUUUCAAUAUUUUGGUAAUUUAUACGAGGAUAUCAAUAUUAGUUUAUGGCUCAAAUUUUCAGGACGCAAUGGAAUAACGAGAAGAAGAUGAUUACACGGAUUAUGCUCGAAGGUUCAUUGGAGAGAAGAUGGUGUCCUUUAUAGUGGUUUUAUAGCUUUUUUUUCGUUGAAAUUUGAUGUUUUAUUGUUAGAAUUCAUAGUGGUUUUCGAUGUUUAUAUAGUUGUGUAUACAGAGUGGUUUUCAUGUUUAUAUAGUUGUUUAUACGGAGUGGUUUUCAUAAUGUCAUGCUUUGUCUUUGAUAAAUUUAU